ensembl:misc_RNA
CAACACAGGCAGUAGCAGGGCAGGCUUCCCCCAGACUGCCUUGUUAAUGUGCC